UGAUGAGCGGAAGGGAACUGAGUAAGAUGGCCAAAGAUCACAGCCAUUGUUACCGCAUCUUUGGAUGAAGAGGAAUCGGCGGAAUCAGACAAGUUGCAUUGCGUGAAAGAUGCCAUAGAAAGUAUUUUAUCGGGAUGAAUCACAGCACCGUUUGGGAACAGCUCCAUCCAAGACUGCAAGAAAUUGCCAAGGGUUGUGCACGUAGCCCACACCAUCACGCAAACCAACCUCCUUUCCAGUGACUCCAUCUACACUUCAUGCUGCCAUGGCAAGGCCUCCAAGGUAAACAAGGACAAGUCUCAUCCUGGUCACGCCGUGGUCUCCACUCUCCCACGAGGCAAGAGGUACAGAUGUUUGAAAGCAUAUUAUUCCAGAUUCAGGAACAUUUCUUCCCAGCUGUUAUAAAGCAACUGAAUUGUCCUCUCACCAACUAGACGGCAGUCCUGACUUCUCAUCUACCUCACUGGAGACCAUUGAACUAUCUUUAAUUGGACUUUAGUGAACCUUAUCUUGCAAUAAACAUUAUACUAUUAAUCCUGUAUCGGUACAAUGUGGACGGCUUGAUUGUAAUUAUGUAUGUGUAGGAUGGAACUGCAGAUGCUGGUUUAAAUUGAAGAUAGACACAAAAUGCUGGAGUACGACAGUGGGACAGGCAGCAUCUCCGUAGAGAGGGAAUGAUUCGAGACCCAUCUUCAGACUCAUUUAGUUUAAUUUAGUUUAGAGAUAUAGCGCGGAAACAGGCCCUUCGGCCCACUGGGUCCGUGCCGACCAGCGGACAUUAACACUAUCCUACGCCCACUGGGGACAAUUUUUCAUUUACCAAGCCAAUUAACCUACAAACCUGUACUUCAUUAGAGUGUUGAAGGAAACGGAAGAUAUCAGAGAAAACCCACGCAGAUCAUGGAGUACAAACUCCAUACAGACUGCACCCGUAGUCGGAAUCGAACCCAGGUCUCUGGCGCUGCAUUCGCUGUCAGGCAACAACUCUACCGUUGUGCCACCGGGACUGCCCUGUAAGGCAGCAAGGCGUACAGUACACUCGUGUAUAGUCUUUUCGCUGACUGGAUAACACACAACAUAAAGCUUUUCACUUUACUCGGUACACGUGACAAUAAUAAACUAAACUAAACAAAAACCAAUUACAUCUGGUCUGAACGUUUAAAAUUUUAAAGUUAGUACCAUUGAAGGUUAGGUAGAUGGUAUUUAUAAUAAAUGAAGCUCUCUUUAAACAUGUGUAAGAAAUACUUGUUUUUUAAAUAUUUGUAUCUAUUAUUAUGUAUGUAUACAUGUAUUUUUACUAGAGAAAUUUUACCAGGAAGGUAAUAUCAAGGAAGAAACAAAAACAUGUGAUCUAUAUAAAGGGCAAGAGGAUGACAAAGGGACUAAAAGAAUAACCCAUGUGCGGCUGCAUAGCUAAAGUAACAUUCUAAAGGGAUACCUUGUUACUUUAUUUACAAAGGAGA